GGGCGGUUAGCUCAGUUGGUUAGAGCUCUUGGUUUACACCCAGGUUGUCACAGGUUCGAGUCCUGUACCGCCCACCA
rnacentral:tRNA from 1 species